AGAGUUUGAUCCUGGCUCAGGAUGAACGCUGGCGGCGUGCUUAACACAUGCAAGUCGAACGGGAAACUUUUCAUUGAAGCUUCGGCAGUUUUGGUCUGUUUCUAGUGGCGGACGGGUGAGUAACGCGUGGGUAACCUGCCUUAUACAGGGGGAUAACAACCAGAAAUGAUUGCUAAUACCGCAUAAGCGCACAGGACCGCAUGGUCCGGUGUGAAAAACUCCAGUGGUAUAAGAUGGACCCGCGUUGGAUUAGCUAGUUGGCAGGGUAACGGCCUACCAAGGCGACGAUCCAUAGCCGGCCUGAGAGGGUGAACGGCCGCAUUGGGACUGAGACACGGCCCAGACUCCUACGGGAGGCAGCAGUGGGGGAUAUUGCACAAUGGGGGAAACCCUGAUGCAGCAACGCCGCGUGUGGGAAGAAGGUUUUCGGAUUGUAAACCACUGUUCUUGGUGAAGAUAAUGACGGUAACCAAGGAGAAAGCUCCGGCUAACUACGUGCCAGCAGCCGCGGUAAUACGUAGGGAGCAAGCGUUGUCCGGAUUUACUGGGUGUAAAGGGUGCGUAGGCGGCUAGGCAAGUCAGACGUGAAAACCAUGGGCUCAACCUGUGGACUGCGUUUGAAACUGUUUAGCUUGAGUGAAGUAGAGGUAGGCGGAAUUCCCGGUGUAGCGGUGAAAUGCGUAGAGAUCGGGAGGAACACCAGUGGCGAAGGCGGCCUACUGGGCUUUAACUGACGCUGAGGCACGAAAGCAUGGGUAGCAAACAGGAUUAGAUACCCUGGUAGUCCAUGCCGUAAACGAAGAUUA
rnacentral:rRNA from 1 species